UCAGGCGCCACAGGAAAGGCUCCUUCGGGCAGGCCUCAGCUUUCAGCUUAAGUUUUUUUCCUUUGGCCGAGUCAACUGCGGUGCCGAGUUGUAUUUUCCUUUCAGAGGUGUGUCCGAGAACCAUUCUUAGGAGACGCCUGCCGGCCGCUUUGGGAUAGGGCCUGUCUGCCCAUGCUGGCUUCCAAAGGCCUCUGUGUGUUCCUGUAUGUGGGCGUGCACGUACCUGUCACAUGUGUACGCGCAGACCACAGGAUGUCCACACUGGCUUCCAAACACAUCUCUGUGUUUCUGUCUGUGAGUGUGUACGCAGGUGUCAAAUGUGUACGCACAGAUCACAGGGUGUCCACACUGGCUUCCAAACACGUCUCUGGGUUCCUUUAUGUGCGUGUGUAUGCACUUGUCAUGUGUACACACAGAUCACAGGGCAUCCACACUGGCUUCCAAACAUGUCUCUGUGUUUCUGUCUGUGGGUAUGUACACACAUAUCACAUGUGGAAGAGGUAGGAAGAGGCUGGAACAGGUAAGGGUCAUGAAGGUGCAGUGCACUAUUGUACUGUUUGCGCUUUAUAUGUGUUUGGUUAGUUUUGCAAGAACAUGCUGGUGAAGGAGAGAGAACCCCAAACAAUUGAUUAGCAGUGCUACUGAAACUCAGAUAUACACAGGAAUGGCAAAGAAACAUCUAUGAAAAAAAGCAGAUUCUGGAACUCCAUCUCCCUGAGAUUGUCACUCAUGGGGUCUGCAGGAAGUUUCAGGAAUCUGCAUUUUCUUCUAAUAAACGUGGUCCACAGGUUAUAAGUUGAGAUACAAAUAGAAUAUAUAAAGUAAAAAAGGAAAAUUUGAAGUUUCCUGCCUAGCCCAACUCUUCUCAUUGGUAGUGUCUGUUAAAUUGGAAACAUAUCUCUUUCCAGACAUAUUAAUACCUUUUAUACAGUUGACUCUUGAACAACAUUAGUUUGAACUGCGUGAGUACACUUAUAUGUGGAUUAUCUUUUAGUUUACUAACUUGACUUAAGAAGUCCUGAUCAUUUUUUGAUGUUCAUGCAUACCGUAUAGAUCCUACCUCAUUUGACUCCUACAAAAUAUUUGUUAAGGGUGUUCUAAAAGUUACUUUUUGUAGUUAAACUACACUUUAUUUACAUUUGUUUGUUAUGGAAAUAAUGCAUAAUAAUCGUUAAAAAUCCAAACAAAAGGGGGGAACAUAUUAAAAGAAAAGUAAGGGUCUCCCUGCUACUCUACCUACCUACCCACCUACCUUAUCUGUUACCAUAUCCUAGACCCAACUGCAAUUAACAAUUUCUGGUUUUAGUUCUUCUGGUUCUUUUCAUUAUAACCUUAAAUACUGUACAUAUACAUCUUGACUCACCAGCUGAAAAUCCUUCGGUGACACUUAAUGUCAGACACACACACCUGUUAUGAGAGUUUCCUGAUUGAAUAAGAAAGAGGCAUUCCAGGCAGAAGUACCCGAACAUACAAGAGUGCAAGACCAAGAGGCUAAGGCAGAUUGCUCUGUGCAAGAAGUGGCAGGUAGUGUGGCGUGGCUGGAGAUGAAGAAAUGACUGGAUUGGGAAGGACUUUAUCCACCAAUCUAAUGAAUUUGACUUUCAUCUUGAAGGUGUGAAAUAGCGUGCUAAACAAGUUUAAAAGCAAAAUGUCAUUAGCCUAUUUGUAUUUAGAAAGAGCACUCCAGAAGCAAGGAGGGGAUGGGUGAAUUGGAUGUACUGACACUGGAACAAGGAAAUUAUUCCAAUAGUCCAGGAACUGACUCACAAGAUCACUGAGGCUGGCAAGUCUACAGGAUGAGCCAGCAAGCUGGAGACCCAGGAGAACUGAUGGCAUAGUUCCUGACCAGAGGCUAGCAGGCUUGAAAUCCAGGAAGAGUCAGUGUUUCAAUCUGAGUCUGAAGGCAAGAAACAAGCUGAUGUCCCAGUCAAAAGAUCAGAAGGCAGGAGAGAUUCUUUCUUACUCAGGGAGGAUCAGUUUUUUUGUUUUAUUCAGGCUUCUAACUGAUUGGAUGAGACUCACUCAUAUGUUAGGGAGGUCAAUUUGCUUUACUCAGGCUAUCCAUUUAAAUGUUAAUCUCAUCCCAAAACACCCUCAUACACACACCCAGGAUAAUGUUUCAGCAAGUAUCUGGGCACUCUAUGGCCCAGUCAAGUUGACACAUAAAAUUAAUCACAAAUAUGUUCCAGUAACUUAGUUUUUAAACAACUAGAUUCUUAUGAGAAUAAACUCAGGAUAGGAUAGGGGAAAUGCUUUCUGGCUUUCCACUUGCAUAUUCUUGGAAUGUCACUUUUUCUUAAAUGUUAAAAAUUGAAGGCCAGGCAUGGUGGCUCAUGCCUGUAAUCCCAGCACUUUGGGAGGCUGAGGUGGGUGGAUCACGAUGUCAGGAGUUCCAUAUGCCCACAGACACACAGCUAGCAGCUGAGAUGAACCACCCAAGUCUAUUUGGUUUUCAGCUCAUGUUCUUUUCAUGAUAUUUUGCUUUCUCUCAAUAUUUAUAGAAUUUAAUUUAAUUGACUAGAAUUAAACUAAGAGAAAAUGAUUGAAUGAAGAGAUGCAGAAGGCAAGAGAUAGCAAAGGUCAUUCUGGGCUGGGCAUGGUGGCUCACACCUGUAAUCCCAGCACUUUGGGAGGCCUAGGCGGGUGGAUCAUCUGAGGUCGGGAGUUCAAGACCACCCUGGCCAACAUGGUGAAACACCCCCGUCUGCUAAAAAUACAAAAAUUAGCUGGGUGUGGUGGCAGGCGCCUGUAAUUGCAGCUACUCGGGAAGCUGAGGCAGGAGAAUCGCUUGAACUGGGGAGGUGGAAGUUGCAGUGAGCCGAGAUGUGCCAUUGCACUCCAGCCUGGGCAGUAAGAGCGAAACUCCGUCUCAAAGCAAAAAAAAGAAAAGCUACCUUUACCAAAGACAGUUAAAAUGAUGGCCACCAAGGGGCAGUGUGCAGCAGGCAGAGAAGGUGGCUUUUUAAAUUAUUUUUCACUGCCUGCUGAGACAAAGAUGUUACACCAGAAUAUGCCACCCUAACAUAUGCUUCUUUGGCAUAAGGAUUAUUUUGAGCUGAAGACGAUUGAGAAGAAACAAAUAAAAGAAAAACUCUGCCUUCCCUUUCUUUGCCUAAUUUUUUGGACAGGGACACACUAAGGUUAGCUAGAAGCUUGCAUGGUGGGGUGGGGGAAAUGCCUGCAGCUGCAAGGAGGUACCCAGGACAAGGCAUGGAAACUCCCCCUAUUCUUGUUAGCACAUGCAAGGUGGAAGGAGAAAGGCAGUGUGGAGUCGCCCAAGCUAAGAGCCUGCCUGCAUGAUAAAAGAAUGGGGUAGGGGCUGCCAGAGAUUCCACUCUAUACAGAUGACACACCUGGUCCUAACCAGGUUUUCAUGCCCUAUGUAGAUAAGAUACCCGCUCCCUACUAGCUCGUUGAUAAAAACCCUCCAUUUUACUGCAGCACGGCAACCCGUCUGGGACCUCUCUCUGUGAGAGAGAGCUGUCCUUUUCCUUUUGCCUAUUACACUUCUCUAACUUCACCCUUUGUGUGUCUGCAUUCUUCAUUUCUGUGGCCAUGAGACAAAAAACCUCAGCUGAUAUCCCAGACAACAAGGCUGCUUUAGAGGGAAAACGGAUAGCUAAUAUUAUCAGUUAAUUGGCUAUGUUAAUUGAUACCUUCAAAUUAGGUGUUUUAAAAUAAAUGCUGAGAACAAUAUGAAAGUGUUUUUCUUUUACUAAUUCUCUGAGGAUUUUGUUAUUUAUUUAGCUUUACAAUGCCUAGCCCCCUUUAUAAAUGUAAUUAUUGUGUUGCUAAGUGCAUGUAUACAAAAAAUUCAUUGGUUCAAAAGCCAUAGGCCUGGUACCAUAGCCAUAUAUGGUACGUUCAAACCUUGGAAAUGCACAUUCUCAGUGUGUCGGAAGCUCUGUACUGCUCCUUCUUGAAGAACUACUUUGAUUUGUGGUUAACUCGCUGUUUUGACUCACUGUUUUAACUCCCAUUACUUCAGUAUCUGACAUUCAGCCUCAGAAUCUGGCCAGUGUAUCAGGGCUGGAAUUAAUUGAUUAACACCAUUAGAUGGCAGUACUAUUUAAAUUCCAAAAAUGGUUAUAAACUCAUUCUCUAAAAUGUGUGUCAAAUAGAAUAUUUGACUGAUAAUAACUCUAAGAGCACAAAAGGAUUAAACACACACACAAGACAAAGUUUGGGAUAUACCCAUUGGAAAAACCCUUGGUCUCUUUAAAUUUUUUUUCAUAUGUAUGUAUAUUGCACAUAUUGCCGGCCUCUUUAUCUCUUUUUUCCUUUUUUUUUUUUUUUUUUUUGAGAAGGAGUCUUACUCUGUCACCCAGGCUGGAGCACAGUAGUGCAAACAUGACUCACUGCAGCCUUGAACUCCUGGGCUCAAGCGACCUUGAUUAUUUUUUAGAUAUAAAAAAUAUUCACACAUUAAUUUGAUCACAAGAAAUUUUAAAGAAAUUUAAACAUUUUCAGAAAAGGCUACUUCAAGGUGUCAUGACAGCUUUGGACCAAACAUUAAUGUUCUAUAUGACUUUGGGCAAGUCAGUCAUGUUUAUUAGACUUAAUAACCCAGGUAACGUUAGCUGUUGGAGGGUUUUUUAAAAAACGUUUUAUUUUGAAAAAACUUCAAACUUAAAGGAAAAAUGGCAAGAAUACUACAAAGACCUAUUUAUUCAGAUACACCAGUUGUCACAAUUUUGCCAUAUUAACUUUAUCUAUUGAUCAAUUUCUCUUUCAGUCUAUUGACCUAUCUAUCUUGAACUAUUUGGGAUUAAGUUGUAGACAUCUGAUCCCCUUACCCUUAAACACUUUACCACGUCUUCCUAAGAAUAAGACCAUUACUCCACACAGUACACUUAUCUAAAUCAGGAGACAGCAUUGUUAUAAUACUGUUACCAAGUGGCAAGCUGGUGCACUGUCCAGACAGGGAGAGAGGGAGAGAGGACCUGAUUUGUAACAUUUGCCAGUUCCCAUGUGUGAUGGUUUACUUUGGUUCAUAACUACCAUUGUCCUUGUUACAGUCUUUUAUUAAAAUGUGGGGUGUGUUAGGCCGCAAGGGCAGGCCUCAAGAAACAGAAUCUCUCUCCUGCCCUCCUUUCACCUGCCCCAAGGCAGGAUUCCAUCUUCUCCCACCUUUCCAACUGUGGGUCUUAAGACUUUUCAGAGAGGGUCCUGCCAUACACACUGGGGGAAGGAAUGCUGACGUCAUGAAGCUUCCAUGAAAACUCAAGAGGACUGAGUUCAGAGAGCUUCCGGAUAGCUGAAAACAUGGAGGUUCCUGGUUCCUGGAGGGUGGCGCCCCAGGCAUGGAAGCUCUGAGCCCCUUCCUCCGCACCUCAUCUCUUCAUCUGUAUCCUUUGUAAUAUCCUUUAUUAUAAAACAGCAAAUGUGUUUCCCUGAGUUCUGUGAGCCACUCCAGCAAAUCAAUCAAACCCAAAGAGGGGGUCAUGGGAACCCCAACUUGAAGCUCAAUCAGAAUUUCCCAAGGCCCAGAUUUGCAACUGAUAUCUGGGGGUGAGGGUGGUCUUGGGGUCUGAGCCCUCAAUCUGUGGGAUCUGAUGCUACCUCCAGAUAGAUAGUGAAGGAACUGGGUGGAGGUCCUGGCUUGUGUCUGCCUCUUGGGCUACACAGUGGUAGAAAAUUAGUACAAGAUGAAAAAGAUUUAAAAGGAAAUGACAGAUAUACAUAUAUAGGAAACAGGCAAGGAAGACCCUGUACACAUGGGUACACGUGCAUGCGCACACACACACAGAUAUAUUAGUUCCUAAAGAAAUAAAAUCAGCCAGGCGCGGUGGCUCACGCCUGUAAUCCCAGCACUUUGGGAGGCUGAGACAGGUGGAUCACCUGAGGUCAGGAGUUCAAGACCAGCCUCAACAUGGAGAAACCCUGUCUCUACUAAAAACACAAAAUUAGCUGGGCGUGGUGGUGCAGGCCUGUAAUCCCAGCUACUCAGGAGGCUGAGGCAGGAGACUUGCUUGAACCUGGGAGGCGGAGGUUGCAGUGAGCCGAGAUCGUGCCAUUGCACUCCAUCCUGGGCAACAAGAGUGAAACUCCGUCUCAAAAAAAAAAAAAAAAAAAAGAAAAUCAAAAGGAAUAGAUCCAAACAAACAAGAUGUAUAAUUCAGGAAAGGUUUCCUGAAAUAAGCAUAUACUUGAAACGACAUAUUGAAAGAUUAUCUAAACACCUUGGAAAAUGGAGUCCAAAUAUCCAAUACCAAGACAUUCUAGUAAAGGGAAAGAAGGAAGAAGGGGAAAGAGGGAAGAGAGGUUGAGGCUGCAGGGAGCUAUGAUCUGCACUCCAGCCUGAGUAACAAAGUGAGACUCUGUCUCAAAAAAAAUAAAAAAAAUAAAAUAAAAUGAAAAAAGAUACUCGAGGAAAGUAAAGAUAAGCCAAAAUAAUUUUCAAGUAUAAAAGCAGCAAAGUGUUACCAAAAUGCAAAGACUCAGGAAAUACAGUUACCAUAAGCUAUUCCUAAGGAAUCUACUAGUGAACAAGUUUCAAACAGUCACAAUGACUGCAGAGACAUUGACGUAAAGACAGAUGGCAAAUAUUAAGUGGGUGGGUAGGUAGAUACAGCUGUAGAUAUGGCCAGCUGUUUGCUGGAGGCAAUUUGGACAAGCUUAUGAGAGCCAAUGAACUUUUCAAGAAUUUUAUGAGUUGGUUAUUAAACAUAGACAUUAUGAACAGUUAAAGUAUAUACAUGUACGUACAUUUAAAUAAAUUAAAAACAGUAAACACUAGGGGUUUCACCAUGUUCGUCGGUCUGGUCUCGAACUCCUGACCUCAUGACCCACCCCCUCGGCCUCCCAAAGUGCUGGGAUUACAGGUGUGAGCCACCACGCGUGGCACAAAACAAACAUUCUUAAUGAGAGUACCUCUAAUAUAUCACUUACAUGCAGUCAACUCCAGGAUAAAUCACGUAAAUAUAUAUUCUAGCUGUAUGAUAGAGUCAACUCUUAGCUCUCUGCAAAAGGCUAAUGGUUUGGAUUUUUAAUGAGAAGAAAUAAAACUGGUAGAAAUACAGUAACAUUGAAAGUAUUUUAUGAAUUUUUAAUUAUAUUCAAUAAUUUUCUCAAUUUUAAAAGAAUAAUGUGAAACAGUAUAUAUGAGUCAGUCUCAUAUUUGAAUACUUGUAUGGGGUAAUAAGUUGUGUAAUAGUUAAAUUCCCAAGAGACCGAAAAAAUAAUUACCCGCAUUUUAAAACAGUAAAUUGAGGGUGAAAAGACUCAAUCAUUUCCUCAGAAUGUUUUCUCGUAACUGACUCAUAAAUAAAUACAGUCUUCCUGUAGAUUAUUUUAAUUUUACCCAAUGAAAUUCACUAUAGAGGUUAUCACUAAACAGGACAUAUUCUUGCGUUUUUAUCACAUUGUUUUUGGUGACAUUUCAAGAAGCCAUAGUCAUAAUUUAGUGUGGAAGUUAUGUCGGUAUUCACAGUAGGCAGAUACACACAAAAUAAUGUCUUUUGACAGAAUCCAAAUGCUUCUGUCCAAAUCUGCUCUUAUAUCUAAGAAGUAAUUCUCCUUGAAAGAGCAGCUUUACAUAAGCUUUAAAACCCUAAUUAUAAGCUCAGAAACUCAGCUCUAAAUUACUUUAAUUACAUAAAAUUGAUGUAAAUCAUAAAGUGUAGAGAAGUCACUUUUCCUUUUGUCUGUUGGCUGCAGCAAGCAUCCUAAGAACUGCUCCAAUGUCUAAGC
rnacentral:lncRNA from 1 species